rnacentral:rRNA from 1 species
GAUCCUGGCUCAGGAUGAACGCUGGCGGCGUGCUUAACACAUGCAAGUCGAGCGAAGCACUUAAGUUCGAUUCUUCGGAUGAAGACUUUUGUGACUGAGCGGCGGACGGGUGAAGGUAACGCGUGGGUAACCUGCCUCAUACAGGGGGAUAACAGUUAGAAAUGGCUGCUAAUACCGCAUAAGACCACAGUACUGCAUGGUACAGUGGUAAAAACUCCGGUGGUAUGAGAUGGACCCCGCGU